UCACAAAAGCAUAACACUGAAAAUGUUAAUAUGGACAAGGAGUCCCGAAUGACA
rnacentral:tRNA from 1 species